rnacentral:rRNA from 1 species
AUUGAACGCUGGCGGCAUGCUUUACACAUGCAAGUCGAACGGUAACAGGCCUUCGGGUGCUGACGAGUGGCGAACGGGUGAGUAAUGCAUCGGAACGUGCCCAGAGGUGGGGGAUAACGCAGCGAAAGCUGUCUAAUACCGCAUGUGAUCUGAGGAUGAAAGCGGGGGACCAGGCAGCAAUGUUUGGCCUCGCGCCUUUGGAGCGGCCGAUGUCAGAUUAGGUAGUUGGUGGGGUAAAGGCCUACCAAGCCGACGAUCUGUAGCUGGUCUGAGAGGACGACCAGCCACACUGGGACUGAGACACGGCCCAGACUCCUACGGGAGGCAGCAGUGGGGAAUUUUGGACAAUGGGCGCAAGCCUGAUCCAGCAAUGCCGCGUGCGGGAAGAAGGCCUUCGGGUUGUAAACCGCUUUUGUACGGAACGAAAAGGCUCUGGCUAAUACCUGGGGCUGAUGACGGUACCGUAAGAAUAAGCACCGGCUAACUACGUG